AGUCGAACGGAGCUUAGAGAGCUUGCUUUUUAAGCUUAGUGGCGAACGGGUGAGUAACGCGUGAGUAACCUGCCCUAGAGUGGGGGACAACAGUUGGAAACGACUGCUAAUACCGCAUAAGCCCACGGUGCCGCAUGACACUGAGGGAAAAGGAUUUAUUCGCUUUAGGAUGGACUCGCGUCCAAUUAGCUAGUUGGUGAGGUAACGGCCCACCAAGGCGACGAUUGGUAGCCGGACUGAGAGGUUGAACGGCCACAUUGGGACUGAGACACGGCCCAGACUCCUACGGGAGGCAGCAGUGGGGGAUAUUGCACAAUGGGGGAAACCCUGAUGCAGCGACGCCGCGUGGAGGAAGAAGGUUUUCGGAUUGUAAACUCCUGUCGUU
rnacentral:rRNA from 1 species